rnacentral:misc_RNA from 1 species
GAGGACUGGUUUGAAAAGAAUGGUGUUGGCGGCUCAUAUUCUGAUGAAAGUGUGGCUGAUGGAAUUCCUCGAAGAGUCUCAAACAUAAUUCCACGCCUGCCUAGUAAUGGCCAUGAGCUCCUGGAGCUUGCUGCAUCCUUCCAGUCUUCUCCUGGUAGACCAGCAACCAAGAUUCUUAGUGUUGCAAGGCGUGUCAGAAGUACUCUUAGGCAGGCUGAGAAACCUGGAUUUGUAUCUGCAUUUUGUCAAACUAACUGUGGGGAUGUUAGCCCUAAUGUGCUUGGAGCCUUCUGCACAGACACUGGGCUACCUUGUGACUUCAACCACAGUACCUGUGGUGGAAAGAAUGAGCUGUGCUAUGGCCGAGGACCUGGUUAUCCUGAUGAGUUUGAAAGUACACGGAUUAUUGGGGAGAGGCAAUUCCAAAAAGCUGUGGAACUUUUCAACAAAGCAUCUGAGCAAGUAAAUGGAAAGGUUGAUUAUCGUCACACCUUCCUAGACUUCUCCCAGCUUGAAGUGACACUUCC